rnacentral:rRNA from 1 species
CCCUAUGGGGUGCAGCAGGCGAGAAAACUUUGCAAUGUGCGAAAGCACGACAAGGUUAAUCCGAGUGGUUUCUGCUAAAGGAACCUUUUGUCGGUCCUAGAAACACCGAUGAAUAAGGGGUGGGCAAGUUCUGGUGUCAGCCGCCGCGGUAAAACCAGCACCUCAAGUGGUCAGGAUGAUUAUUGGGCCUAAAGCAUCCGUAGCCGGCUCUGUAAGUUUUCGGUUAAAUCUGUACGCUUAACGUACAGGCUGCCGGGAAUACUGCAGAGCUAGGUAGUGGGAGAGGUAGACGGUACUCGGUAGGAAGGGGUAAAAUCCUUUGAUCUAUUGAUGACCACCUGUGGCGAAGGCGGUCUACCAGAACACGUCCGACGGUGAGGGAUGAAAGCUGGGGGAGCAAACCGGAUUAGAUACCCGGGUAGUCCCAGCUGUAAACUAUGCAAACUCAGUGAUGCAUUGGCUUGUGGCCAAUGCAGUGCUGCAGGGAAGCCGUUAAGUUUGCCGCCUGGGAAGUACGUACGCAAGUAUGAAACUUAAAGGAAUUGGCGGGGGAGCACCACAAGGGGUGAAGCCUGCGGUUCAAUUGGAGUCAACGCCAGAAAUCUUACCCGGAGAGACAGCAGAAUGAAGGUCAAGCUGAAGACUUUACCAGACAAGCUGAGAGGAGGUGCAUGGCC